GUCAUAUAUCCAAUAUUAUUGUGAUGAAUGUUGUACUUUUUAAUCAGGAAUCGUGCACAAAAUUUUGUUGGUAUCCUGAUUGCCAUUGUGGAAGCCGUGACCUGUGUCCUGUGGGAGCCAACUUGGAACUGGGAAUGGUAUUCUCAUUAUACUUUGUUUGCUGGAUCAUUGUCUUAUGUGAUAUGUCUAGAUAAACUUCUUGCGUGUUGACACACAUUAAUUGUUUCUUGCAGGUUCUAUACAGGAAGUACAGUGGAAAUUUCAUUGUUAACCUUCUCGGCAAAUGGAAAUAAUAUGAAUAUUCUGGUCAUUCUGUUACUACUGGUGGUCUUGCUUACAAUGUGACUGCACCAUCCAGGUUCUUCACCGGCUAUAGAUUACUGCAGUGAGUAUAUUCACUAAUUGGUAACGAAUAGAGAAAAGUAUCUUCACGUGGCAGGGUGUCGCCUUGUUGCAUAUAACCAUCUGGAGUUCAUCACUAAGAAUGUAUCGCCUCUACCUGGAGUUCAACAUUCAAAACCGGGUUGCCUAAAAUUUAGUGGGACCUGAUGCCCAUGUUUCAUAAGCACAUAUGUUUUUAAUACUUUGCUCUAAUAUGUUAUGCCCGUCCAAAAAAUUAUUAUUCUUCCUGCUUUGCCUACUAAACAUGUAUGAUGAUGGCAUAAUGCUUUACUUGGCAUGAUGAUUUGCUUUCUAUUGACUGCUUUGUCCGCACUGACUUCUGUAUACGGCUCAUACAUUACAUGCUAAUCUACACAGCAGCUUGCUUUGGAGAUUUUGUAAUGAAUGAUGGAAGAGGUACUGAAUGAAUUUUAAAGCAUUGCUUAAAGGAUCCAGAUAGUUAUGCUUUGGGUUAGUUUUUUUAUUAGGAUCUCUCUAGGAACUUUUCCCUCUGUAUUGUGUUGUUGCCGCUGCAGGCCAGCAAGACGGUUGGUGUCGAUGAUGAAGAUUGCUUGUUUUGUCUGAUAAUGAAAUGAUUUGGACACAUAUAGAGUAUUACCGCCUUUAGCUUGCAAGGUAUGUUACCAUCCCAUGCCCCAUCUGCUUAGCUAACUUUUUGUGCUGAACUAGGAAUUUGGGAUUAGCUAUUUACAGUUAUCGAAGGAGAUGACCCUCUUACAAGACCUCUGAUUGGUGGAUUCUGUUGUUGUCAGUGUCUUGCAUCAUUCAGAGAAAAGUCAAUUUAUUUUUAGCGUCGUUUGCAUGAAAAUUUAAAUAUAUAACAUGGCAAUAUGUGAAGUGGAACAAUUUAUCAGUCCUCAGAAUGCCAGAUUUGACUCCAUUAACUCUGUAGGCUGCGGCAGUUUUUCAAGCUUCGAUUAUUAGGAGAACAGUGUGAUAGGUGUUAAUCAUACAAAAUACUGAUCUAGCCUCAUCAAUGGUACUUGGGAAAAUAAAAAUUUCAUGCAUUUACCAGUAUAAAGCUCAGAUAACAUUGUUUAAUAUUCUACUCCCUCUGUUCUGUAACUAGCAAUCAAAGUAACCCUACUGUUGUAUUUACUCCCUUGUUUACACAUAUAAGAGCCAUAUUCUAACUGUAUGCCAUGUGGACAUGUGGUACUUUGAUUGCCUGCGCCCAAAAGCAAGGCCACGGCCCAAUUAUGACUCGACGUGUGGACCAAUGUAAAGCACAGAAGCAAGGCCAGCGCCCAGCUCUUGCGAGCCACAUGAGCCUCUCAGGAUUAACCUUACUGUAUCAGUAUCAUUUUCAUACCACGACGAUAAUCUGCAAGACCAGCUUAGUUCAGAGUUUAGGCUGCUCCUGAAUUUCAUUCAUGUGUGCAUCUUUUGUCUAUGUAAACUUGUAAAGCAUGUGUGGCAGCUUAGUUCAGCUUUGAUCCACUUUUCCAUACAUUUUUUUCAUGUAAGAUUGUUGGUUGCUGAAAACAACUAGGUCCCCAUUUGGUAUUUCAUUGGAUACAAACCUGAA